rnacentral:rRNA from 1 species
AUUCCAGCUCCAAUAGCGUAUAUUAAAGUUGUUGCAGUUAAAAAGCUCGUAGUUGGAUUUCUGGUGGGAGCACGGGUCGGCCUUCACGGGUUGUACUGUUGUUGCGUCCCGCCGUUUCGGAGGGAAUGGUCUCGCUAUUAAGUUAGCGUGAUCGGGAACUCUGUCGUUUACUGUGAAAAAAUUAGAGUGUUCAAAGCAGGCCUUCGCUGUGAAUACAUUAGCAUGGAAUAAUAAGAUAGGACUGUAGUGCUAUUUUGUUGGUUUGCGUACUAUGGUAAUGAUUAAUAGGGAUAGUUGGGGGUAUUCAUAUUCAAUUGUCAGAGGUGAAAUUCUUGGAUUUAUAGAAGAUGAACUACUGCGAAAGCAUUUACCAAGGAUGUUUUCAUUA